CGGAGGGUGCAAGCGUUAUCCGGGUUCACUGGGUUUAAAGGGUGCGUAGGCGGGCAGGUAAGUCAGUGGUGAAAUCUUCGAGCUUAACUCGGAAACUGCCGUUGAUACUAUCUGUCUUGAAUAUUGUGGAGGUGAGCGGAAUAUGUCAUGUAGCGGUGAAAUGCUUAGAUAUGACAUAGAACACCCAUUGCGAAGGCAGCUCACUACGCAAAAAUUGACGCUGAGGCACGAAAGCGUGGGGAUCAAACAGGAUUAGAUACCCUGGUAGUCCACGCCCUAAACGAUGAUUACUCGACAUACGCGAUACACAGUGUGUGUCUGAGCGAAAGCAUUAAGUAAUCCACCUGGGAAGUACGACCGCAAGGUUAG
rnacentral:rRNA from 1 species